rnacentral:rRNA from 1 species
GAUGAACGCUAGCGGCAGGCCUAGCACAUGCAAGUCGAGGGGUAGCAGGAUUAAGCUUGCUUAAUUGCUGACGACCGGCGCACGGGUGCGUAACGCGUAUGCAACCUACCUUAUACUGGGGUAUAGCCCGGAGAAAUUCGGAUGAAUUCCCCAUAGUACUAAUGAAUCGCAUGGUUUAUUAGUUAAAGCAUUGCGGUAUAAGAUGGGCAUGCGUCCUGUUAGCUAGAUGGUGAGGUAACGGCUCACCAUGGCUACGAUAGGUAGGGGGCCUGAGAGGGUGGAACCCCACACUGGUACUGAGACACGGACCAGACUCCUACGGGAGGCAGCAGUGAGGAAUAUUGGUCGAUGGGCGCAAGCCUGAACCAGCCAUGCCGCGUGCAGGAAGAAUGCCCUAUGGGUUGUAAACUGCUUUUAUUUGGGAAUAAACCUCUUUACGUGUAGAGAGCUGAAGGUACCAAAUGAAUAAGCACCGGCUAACUCCGUGCCAGCAGCCGCCGUAA